rnacentral:rRNA from 1 species
CCUACGGGAGGCAGCAGUGGGGAAUAUUGCACAAUGGGGGAAACCCUGAUGCAGCGACGCCGCGUGAGUGAAGAAGUAUUUCGGUAUGUAAAGCUCUAUCAGCAGGGAAGAAAAUGACGGUACCUGCUUAAGAAGCCCCGGCCAACUACGUGCCAGCAGCCGCGGUAAUACGUAGGGGGCACGCGUUAUCCGGAUUUACUGGGUGUAAAGGGAGCGUAGGCGGCAGCACAAGUCUGGAGUGAAAUGCCGGGGCUUAACCCCGGAGCUGCUGUGGAAACUGUGCAGCUAGAGUGCAGGUGAGGUAAGUGGAAUUCCUGGGGUAGCGGUGAAAUGCGUAGAUAUUAGGAGGAACACCAGUGGCGAAGGCGGCUUACUGGACUGUAACUGACGUUGAGGCUCGAAAGCGUGGGGAGCAAACAGGAUUAGAUACCCUGGUAGUC